rnacentral:lncRNA from 1 species
CUCUAAGCCCAGAGUUCGUGAUAUUUUGGAAAUAGCUACAAUGGUGAAUUUCACCCCCUGGAGAGUUCUGUCACUGGCACUUGUUCCAGGGUUCCAGCAGAGUCCCUCUUCUCAAAUAGGAAGCACUGGCUCAGAAGACUGUCCCCAGCAUAAGGAAUAAUAUAAUGCAGAGAUACUGGGAUUAAGAUAAGCACGGGUAGUUCAAGAUCAUGAAGGAGAAACACGCAUUUUAGCUUAAGAAAUCAAGUCUGAUCUCCAGUAGGAGCAUCCUGAUGAGCCCACCAGGACAUGUCGUGGAGUCUUCCAUGGAGCUGACAAGUGACCCAGCACUCCAAGCCUUCCAUGAUGGUCUCAAAUAGAUAUCCUAUGAGACUACACUCAGGUCUGUGUAGUGCUCCCAAAAUGCCCUACUCUGCUUUCUACACUGAACAAUGCCCCAAAGUGGUGGAAUUUUUUUUUUUUUUAAUGGAAGCCAGAGGUUCAUCAUAAUAGGUGUCAUGGAAGUCCUCAGAGAUGUAAAUAACCCCCUAGAGAUAAGGCUGACAUAUAAAAGUCUACCUCAGUCCUGGGGAAAUGAGCACACCAUUCACCACUGUAGGAGAAAAGAAGGGGACAGAAGAUCAUGUAGGGCUUUGUAAUUCA